GACGAACGCUGGCGGCGUGCUUAACACAUGCCAGUCGAACGGAAAGGCCCUGCUUUUGCUGGGUGCUCGAUUGCCGAACGGGUGAGUAACACGCGAGUAACCUGCCCUUGACUUUGGGAUAACUUCAGGAAACUGGGGCUAAUAUCGGAUAGGAGCUCCUGCUCCAUGGUGGUGGUUGGAAAGUUUCGGCGGUUGGGGAUGGUUUCGCUGCUUAUCAGCUUGUUGGUGAAGUAGUGGCUUACCAAGCGUUUGACGGGUAGCCGGCAUGAGAGGGUGACCGGGCACAAUGGGACUAAGAGACGGAGCAGAAUCGUACGGGAGGCAGCAGUGGGGAGUAUGGCACAGUGGGCGGGAGCGUGAGGCAGCAACGCCGCGUGCGGGAUAACGGCCUUCGGGUGAUAAACAGCUUUGGCAUGUAACGAAGAGUGAGUGACGGUAAUGGGUAAGGAAGCAACGGCUAACUACGUG
rnacentral:rRNA from 1 species